UACGGAGGGUGCAAGCGUUAUCCGGAUUCACUGGGUUUAAAGCGCGCGUAGGCGGUCAGGUAAGUCCGGUGUGAAAGUCAAAGGCUCAACCUUUGAAUGCCGCUGGAUACUGCUUGACUUGAGUCCGGAAGGGGCGAGUGGAAUUCCUGGUGUAGCGGUGAAAUGCGUAGAUAUCGGGAGGAACACCAGUGGCGAAGGCGACUUCUUGGCCUGUUCUUGACGCUGAGGCGCGAAAGCUGGGGGAGCAAACGGG
rnacentral:rRNA from 1 species